rnacentral:rRNA from 1 species
GUGGAUUAGAUACCCUGGUAGUCCACGCUGUAAACGAUGGGCACUAGGUGUGGGGGGUAUCCACUCCUCCCGUGCCGCAGCUAACGCAUUAAGUGCCCCGCCUGGGGAGUACGGCCGCAAGGUUAAAACUCAAAGGAAUUGACGGGGGCCCGCACAAGCGGUGGAGCAUGUGGUUUAAUUCGACGCAACGCGAAGAACCUUACCUGGGCUUGACAUCCCUGGAACCUCCUGGAAACAGGAGGGUGCUGCCUUCGGGUAGAGCCAGGAGACAGGUGCUGCAUGGCUGUCGCCAACU